rnacentral:rRNA from 1 species
CCGAUGGCGAAGGCAGCNUCCUGGGAUAACACUGACGUUCAUGCCCGAAAGCGUGGGUAGCAAACAGGAUUAGAUACCCUGGUAGUCCACGCCCUAAACGAUGUCGAUUAGCUGUUGGGCAGCAUGACUGCUUAGUAGCGAAGCUAACGCGUGAAAUCGACCGCCUGGGGAGUACGGUCGCAAGAUUAAAACUCAAAGGAAUUGACGGGGACCCGCACAAGCGGUGGAUGAUGUGGAUUAAUUCGAUGCAACGCGAAGAACCUUACCUGGUCUUGACAUGUACGGAACCCUCCAGAGACGGAGGAGUGCCUUCGGGAGCCGUAACACAGGUGCUGCAUGGCUGUCGUCAGCUCGUGUCGUGAGAUGUUGGGUUAAGUCCNGCAACGAGCGCAACCCUUGUCAUUAGUUGCCAUCAUUAAGUUGGGCACUCUAAUGAGACUGCCGGUGACAAGCCGGAGGAAGGUGGGGAUGACGUCAAGUCCUCAUGGCCCUUAUGACCAGGGCUUCACACGUCAUACAAUGGUCGGUACAGAGGGUAGCCAAGCCGCGAGGCGGAGCCAAUCUCACAAAACCGAUCGUAGUCCGGAUUGCACUCUGCAACUCGAGUGCAUGAAGUCGGAAUCGCUAGUAAUCGCAGGUCAGCAUACUGCGGUGAAUACGUUCCCGGGUCUUGUNC